rnacentral:rRNA from 1 species
UACGGAGGGGGCUAGCGUUGUUCGGAAUUACUGGGCGUAAAGCGCACGUAGGCGGCUUUGUAAGUUAGAGGUGAAAGCCCGGGGCUCAACUCCGGAAUUGCCUUUAAGACUGCAUCGCUAGAAUUGUGGAGAGGUAAGUGGAAUUCCGAGUGUAGAGGUGAAAUUCGUAGAUAUGGGGAGGAACACCGGUGGCGAAGGCGGCCAUCUGGACGGUAACUGACGCUGAGACGCGAAAGCGUGGGUAGCAAACAGG